UCCGGCUUAACGCCGGCAGUCUCCCUAGAGUGUCCAAAGAGUUGACCAUUUCUGGCCCGUUCUCGUAUAUGUCAAGCCUUGGUAAGGUUCUUCGCGUUGCAUCGAAUUAAUCCGCAUGCUCCGCCGCUUGUGCGGGUCCCCGUCAAUUCCUUUGAGUUUUAGCCUUGCGGCCGUACUCCCCAGGCGGGGAACUUAAUGCGUUAGCUGCGUCACGGAAUCCGUGGAAUGGACCCCACAACUAGUUCCCAACGUUUACGGGGUGGACUAC
rnacentral:misc_RNA from 1 species